AUGGCGACUGGGACCGUGUACACAAUGCCUGAAAACUGGAGGAACUUCAAGGCUCUCAUUGUUUGCUCAGUACAGCAGGGCUCAGAUCCACAUGCUCUCUGCAUCACCCCACCUCCAUUUUGGCCAAACCAACCGCACCCCUGAAUUUCUCCACAAAUUUCCUGCUGGCAAGAUUCCAGGAUGACGAUGGUUUCUAUGUGUUCGAGAACAAUGCCAUUGCCUACUAUGUGAGCAAUGAGGAGCUGCGUGGAAGUACUCCAGAGGCAGUGGCUCGGGUGGUGCAGCGGGUGAGCUUUGCUGAUAGUGACAUAGUGCCCCCAGACAGGACCUAGGUGUUCCCCACUUUGGGCUUCAUGCAUCACAACAAACAGGCCACUGAGCAUGCAAAGGAGGAGGUGAGGGGAAUUCUGGGGCUGCUGGAUGCUCACUUGAAGACGAGGACUUUUCUGGUGGGCGAAUGAGUGACACUGGCUGACAUGACAGUUGUUUGCACCCUGUUGUGGCUCUAUAAGCAAGUUCUGGAGUCUUCUUUCUGCCAGGCCUUUCCCAAUACCAAUCGCUGGUUCUAUACCUACAUUAACCAGCCCUAGUUCCGUGCUGUCUUGGGGGAGGUGAAACUUUGUGAGAAGAUGGCCCAGUUUGAUGCUAAAAAGUUUGCAGAGAGUCAGCCUAAAAAGGACACCCCACGGAAGGAAAAGGGUUCACAAGAAGAGAAGCAGAAGACCCAGGCUGAGCAGGAGGAGGAGAAAAAGGCAGCCAUCCCUGCUCCUGAGGAGGAAAUGGAUGAAAGUGAGCAGGCCCUGGCUGCUGAGCCCAAGGCCAAAGACCCCUUCGUUCACCUGCCAAAGAGUACCUUUGUGUUGGAUGAAUUUAAGUGCUAAUACUUGAACAAGGACACACUCUCUGUGGUGCUGCCAUAUUUCUGGGAGUACUUUGAUAAGGAUGGCUGGUUCCUGUGGUAUUCUGAGUACCACUUCCCCAAAGAGCUCACUCGAACCCUUAUGAGUUGCAAUCUCAUUACUGGAAUGUUCCAGCGAUUGGACAAGCUGAGGAAGAAUGCCUUUGCCAGUGUCAUCCUAUUGGGAGCCAACAACAGCAGCUCCAUUUCUGGAGUCUGGGUCUUCUGAGGCCAGGAGCUUGCCUGUCCACUGAGUCCAGAUUGGCAGGUGGACUACAAGUCAUACACACAGCAGAAACCGGAUCCUGGCAGCAAGAAGGCUCAAAUGCUGGUGUUAGUACUUUUCCUGGAAGGGGGCCCUCCAGCAUGUGGGCAAAGCCUUCAAUCAGGGCAAGCUCUUCAAGUGA